rnacentral:rRNA from 1 species
GUGAGGAAUAUUGGACAAUGGCCGAGAGGCUGAUCCAGCCAUGCCGCGUGCGGGAAGACGGCCCUAUGGGUUGUAAACCGCUUUUGUUGGGGAGCAAUAAGGUCCACGUGUGGAUCGAUGAGAGUACCCAGCGAAUAAGCAUCGGCUAACUCCGUGCCAGCAGCCGCGGUAAUACGGAGGAUGCAAGCGUUAUCCGGAUUUAUUGGGUUUAAAGGGUGCGUAGGCGGAUGCUUAAGCGUGAGGUGAAAUGCCCGGGCUCAACCUGGGAACUGCCUCGCGAACUGGGUAUCUGGAAUGUCCGUGCCGUGGGAGGAAUGUGUGGUGUAGCGGUGAAAUGCAUAGAGAUCACACAGAACACCGAUUGCGAAGGCAUCUCACGAACGGAUGAUUGACGCUGAGGCACGAAAGCGUGGGGAUCAAACAGG